rnacentral:lncRNA from 10 species
UGCAGAUCAAGAUGCCCUGAGGGCAAAGAGCAGAGGGGUGCUCUCUGGUGGCCCAGCAGUUCUGCCCCAGGGGAGAGGUUUCUCUUUUACUACCGCGAAAACCCACAGGACGCUGCUUCAUCCCAGAGCCAAGGAUACCAGGAAGGAAGGUCAGAGUGAGGAGGUGUCUGAGUGUUUCAGAUCACACAGUGACAUACUGCUUGAUGGCUUCAGAAAUCCUUCAUGAGCUGGGAGACAGCCCCAGAGGUGACAGUUUCUACAAGAGCAGUCUGAAAUGCCACCUCCCAAGAAACCUCCAUGCAACUUCCCAAGCAGAAUGAGUCACCCCCUCUUCUGCCCUUUCAUAGCCCCAACCAUCUCGAGGACAACACAUCAGCAGCAGCAGCCACGUAGAUGUUUGUUUCUGUACCUGGAUUCUAAGUGCCUGAAGGACUGGACAUAUCUGGUUUCUAAGUUCCAGGAGGACUGGACACAUCCAUCACCCACGUGUAAACCCAGCA